CUCACUCUGGGGAAUGCUAGUCGCCAUGUCAUAAGGACACUUAAGCAGCCCAUGGAGAUAUCCACGUGACAAGAAACCGAAGCUUCCUGCCGACAGCCACAUGACAGCUCAGUUUGUGGAGUGGUGAUAAGAGUUAUCUGUCUGAUGCAAGACCACAUCAGCCGCACCUGCCCUGGUGGCCUGUUGCAGUCUGUGCACGGGGUGAUGGAUGGCCUUGAGCUUCUGACAUGUGAGAACUCACACCACCGCCCACUCCCCUCCCAGCUGGCUGCAGUGUGGAAGGAGCUUCACCCAACUUGUAGGAACAGGACUGUCACAUGUGAGUGCCAGACACCUGGUGAAUAAGGCCAUGAAGAAGGCUUUUUCCUCACCCCUAAAGGAAAAGAAACCACGGCUCAGAUAACAAAUUCUUGGCCCAAGAGUCUCCACUUCUUAGGAACAACCACAGUGACCUCGUUAAUCAAUCCCAGUAAUCUUUCCACUGAGCCCUCAAAAUUAUCCACAGCAGACCAUCUCUGGAAGCCUCUAGCAACCAAUACUGGGUGCUCCCUAAGAUGAAAACUAUGAGCUAUCCUCGGGUUGGAGGGACUGAGAAAGAUAGUAGUGGAGACUUGACAAGGAAAGAGGGUGAGAUAGUGCCAAGUUCAGGGUGGUGGGAAGGUGAGAGAACCCGGGUGCAUCACAAUGGCAGGGAGAAAUCAACGAGGGCGGAGUGCGGGGAUUUGGACAUUAACAAGAGUUGGUGGAGACAUUAGCACAAGGCAGAGUCAGAAGGACCAGUUCUUCUCUCAUGUGACCCUGGGUAUACCCCUUCACUGCUCUGGUCCUCAAAUGUCCUAGCUGUAAAGUGAGUGAGUCACACCAGAAGUCUUUAUGACCACUUCUGGCUCUGACAUCCUAUAACUCACACGAUUUACUAUAGCACAGAAUUCAGUGAAUGCCAACUGCAGGGCCCCUCAGUUUUCUCUUCAGGGUCAUGUGGAAGAGACUGCUGGUGACUUCCCAGUGUCCUUUCCCCCUUCUUCAUUAGUAAAAGAGCUCCAGGUUUUAGCUGAGCAAUUUCCAUUCAGCUGAAAGACUCAGCUUCCCAGGUUCCCAGCAGUAUAACUAUGUUCUAUCCAAUGAGAUCUAAGUGGAAGUGUCAUGUGGAACUUUGGGGAGCUCUCCUUAGAAAGGAAGAGCCUAGUGUGAUGGUUAACACAAUCUCUGCCUUCAAGUUGCGUCGACUCUAGUUUGAGAGAGAUAUAAAACACCGG
rnacentral:lncRNA from 1 species